rnacentral:lncRNA from 1 species
CUAAGCUAUGCAAUUUUGCAAGUAAUUUUUCUCUUCUUGCUGAGCCUGUUAAUUCAUUUAAUCAUUUUUGUUUUUCAGUCAUUUCACUUUUGCAGUGUUUUCUUGAUGUUUUUGUUUUUAUUGCUUCUUCUCCAGGGCUUCAAUCAUCUUGACCAGUUUCCAGGACAAGAGAGUACUUGCAAAAAACAGCAGAGUAAGAGCCAAAAUAACUGCUAUAAGGAAAUGAGACCCUUGCCUUGUUCCUCUGGAGAAGCCUGACUAACACAAAAUGGAAGCCCACAAUCAAGAGGAAAGAAGAAAACAAACACACUAAAGGAAUUAAAAGACUCUAGUACCUGUACCUAAAACAAACACGACCCACCUAGUGGUAAAUUAACAUAAAUACUUACACUAAGUUCUCAUUUCAUCAAUUCAUACUAUACCUGACUUCCUUCUUAUUCAUAAUUUUAAAAUUAUGAAGAACCAGUGUCAUUCUAUGUACCCUACAAUAACAAUGUACCACAGAUU